GGAAGGGUGCUAGAGUGGUCGAAUAGGACAGUCUCGAAAACUGUUGUACCGGAAACGGUACCGUGGGUUCGAAUCCCACCCCUUCCG
rnacentral:tRNA from 1 species